AGUUGUAUGAAGGGUGCAGUAUCCUAGUUGGUACAUCUAUUAUGAAGACGAGCCUAAAAAUUCGUUAAAGAGCAUACCUGUGAAACUUCUUGUGCUUGCUUGAAUCGCCCAGAUUUGGGUGGGUGCUGGGAGGUAGUUAUCUGGGGAGCUUAUAAUGGCAUAUAAGUGUAGCCCAUAUGACAUAGAGACUUAAUAUUGUGCUAAACCGAAAUAUAGUACGAAUUAAGAUUAAACCUACUUUGAGGCGAAAGUUUUGAGUAGUGUAGCUUGCCUUGAGUGAAUACACUGGGAUUAUAAUAUGUAUGAAUAAUUUAUGGCCAAAAUUAUUUAUAUGGAUUUGUUAUAUGAAAUUGUAUUUGCAAAAAAGACUAAUAAUAGAUAAAUAUCAGUGAGGAAAUCUCCUAGGCUGUAUGUCGAUAUAAGUUUGCAGUGCGUACUAAGUGGCAAUCAAGUCGUAUACUUAGGUAACGGUAUAUACAAUUAUUAAAGGGGAACCGCCUUUUGGUAACGAAAGGUUAAUUUGUGGGAAAUCCUACUUGACCUAUGACGCAAAGUUAAUUAUAUUGAUACCAAUCAUAUUUUUUU
rnacentral:sRNA from 1 species